AGUGAACGCUGGCGGUAGGCCUAACACAUGCAAGUCGAACGGCAGCACAGUAAGAGCUUGCUCUUACGGGUGGCGAGUGGCGGACGGGUGAGGAAUACAUCGGAAUCUACUUUUUCGUGGGGGAUAACGUAGGGAAACUUACGCUAAUACCGCAUACGACCUACGGGUGAAAGCAUGGGAUCUUCGGACCUUGCGCGAUUGAAUGAGCCGAUGUCGGAUUAGCUAGUUGGCGGGGUAAAGGCCCACCAAGGCGACGAUCCGUAGCUGGUCUGAGAGGAUGAUCAGCCACACUGGAACUGAGACACGGUCCAGACUCCUACGGGAGGCAGCAGUGGGGAAUAUUGGACAAUGGGCGCAAGCCUGAUCCAGCCAUACCGCGUGGGUGAAGAAGGCCUUCGGGUUGUAAAGACCUUUUGUUGGGAAAGAAAAGCAGCAGGUUAAUACCCCGCUGUUCUGACGGUACCCAAAGAAUAAGCACCGGCUAACUUCGUG
rnacentral:rRNA from 1 species